rnacentral:rRNA from 1 species
CACGUAGGGUGCGAGCGUUGUCCGGAUUUAUUGGGCGUAAAGAGCUUGUAGGCGGUUUGUCGCGUCUGCUGUGAAAACCCGGGGCUCAACUUCGGGCUUGCGGUCGAUACGGGCGGGCUAGAGUUCGGUAGGGGAGACUGGAAUUCCUGGUGUAGCGGUGAAAUGCGCAGAUAUCAGGAGGAACACCGGUGGCGAAGGCGGGUCUCCGGGCCGAUACUGACGCUGAGGAGCGAAAGCGUGGGGAGCGAACAGG